rnacentral:lncRNA from 1 species
CAGGAUUUGUACUGGGCACUCUCAAGAAACAGUUAAGAUACAACUUGACAUGAAACUGCUCAACCUGGUACUUCCCACUAGCUGUCACCACGGAAGUCACCACCUGCCCCCCUUUCCCUUGCAAGGGUUACUAACAGUGAUCCCAUCUGGUCACCACAAAGUCAGUAGGAAACUCAGGCUGAAGACACACUGAAAACCUAGCACCACACAAGAGCUCAUCGCAGCAACCUUAGUUUUACUUCCUUCUGGAAAAAGAUGAACAGCACUUUCUUCUCCUUUCACUGACAUUCAGUUGAAAAGGAUCCCAGGUACACUCUAUGACUGGAGGUAGUGGCGCUUAUUGAAACUGGAACCUUCAUAGUGAUUAGUACGUUUGCUCAAACCUGUAAGACUGAAGUGUGAUAAGUGUCUUGGCUUGAGUACUAACCGGAAGGAAAACAUCUACCUGUUACAAAUGUAGGAGCCUGCUGCACCUGCAGCUGUUGCCUGAAUGUUUUGGGUGCUAUUCACA